GAUGCUUCUGUUCUCUGCGGCUACCUCUUCUAGACUGUGAGCUUCCAACGUUCUGUUGAUUAGGGCAAUCCAGGAAUUUAAUGACAUCAUAAGACAUCAGGCCCACCAAAUGGUCCUUGCUCUCUAUUCUUGCAGAUAUUGGAAUUUCUUAGAAGGGAAGAGAAUCAGAAAAUGUCUGCCAUGCCAGUGAGAGUACCAAGGCUGAGCCAAUCAGCUGAAGAUCUCACUGAGGCCCAACCAAGUUGACGGAGACAAAAGCCGCAAGUUAUUCCAGGCUGAAGUUGAACAGCAGGAACCAAUACAUUGCACAAGGGUGGGAAGUCAUGCAACGAGGCCUCAGAAAUCCCAGCCAGCACAGACACAAGAACCAGCACAAGUGACUUGCAUAGGGGUCUGCUGGCUCUCCCAUCUUUUCUUGGCAUCGUCUCCAUUUCUUCAGAGGCACUUCCCCAAAUAAAAUCUUUGCUCUUUUAAUCCUG
rnacentral:lncRNA from 1 species